rnacentral:rRNA from 1 species
CCUGGCUCAGGAUGAACGCUAGCUACAGGCUUAACACAUGCAAGUCGAGGGGCAGCAUGGUCUUAGCUUGCUAAGGCCGAUGGCGACCGGCGCACGGGUGAGUAACGCGUAUCCAACCUGCCUUACACUCUUGGACAGCCUUCUGAAAGGGAGAUUAAUACAAGAUGUUAUCAUGAGUAAGCAUUUUCGCAUGAUUAAAGGUUUACCGGUGUAAGAUGGGGAUGCGUUCCAUUAGAUAGUAGGCGGGGUAACGGCCCACCUAGUCUUCGAUGGAUAGGGGUUCUGAGAGGAAGGUCCCCCACAUUGGAACUGAGACACGGUCCAAACUCCUACGGGAGGCAGCAGUGAGGAAUAUUGGUCAAUGGACGAGAGUCUGAACCAGCCAAGUAGCGUGAAGGAUGAAGGUUCUAUGGAUUGUAAACUUCUUUUAUACGGGAAUAAACGAAUCCACGUGUGGAUUUUUGCAUGUACCGUAUGAAUAAGGAUCGGCUAACUCCGUGCCAGCAGCCGCGGUAAUACGGAGGAUCCGAGCGUUAUCCGGAUUUAUUGGGUUUAAAGGGAGCGUAGAUGGGUUGUUAAGUCAGUUGUGAAAGUUUGCGGCUCAACCGUAAAAUUGCAAUUGAUACUGGCAGUCUUGAGUACAGUGAGGUAUGCGGAAUUCGUGGUGUAGCGGUGAAAUGCUUAGAUAUCACGAAGAACUCCGAUUGCGAAGGCAGCUUACUAACCUGUAACUGACAUUGAUGCUCGAAAGUGUGGGUAUCAAACAGGAUUAGAUACCCUGGUAGUCCACACGGUAAACGAUGAAUACUCGCUGUAGGCGAUAUACAGUCUGCGGCCAAGCGAAAGCAUUAAGUAUUCCACCUGGGGAGUACGCCGGCAACGGUGAAACUCAAAGGAAUUGACGGGGGCCCGCACAAGCGGAGGAACAUGUGGUUUAAUUCGAUGAUACGCGAGGAACCUUACCCGGGCUUAAAUUGCAACCGAAUAUGGCGGAAACGCUAUAGCUAGCAAUAGCGGUUGUGAAGGUGCUGCAUGGUUGUCGUCAGCUCGUGCCGUGAGGUGUCGGCUUAAGUGCCAUAACGAGCGCAACCCUUGCCGAUAGUUACUAACAGGUUAUGCUGAGGACUCUGUCGGGACUGCCAUCGUAAGAUGUGAGGAAGGUGGGGAUGACGUCAAAUCAGCACGGCCCUUACGUCCGGGGCUACACACGUGUUACAAUGGGGGGUACAGAGGGCUGCUACCACGCAAGUGGAUGCCAAUCCCAAAAACCUCUCUCAGUUCGGAUUGAAGUCUGCAACCCGACUUCAUGAAGCUGGAUUCGCUAGUAAUCGCGCAUCAGCCACGGCGCGGUGAAUACGUUCCCGGGCCUUGUACACACCGCC